rnacentral:rRNA from 1 species
AGCAGCCGCGGUAAUUCCAGCUCCAAUAGCGUAUAUUAAAGUUGUUGCAGUUAAAAAGCUCGUAGUUGAAUUUCGGGAUUAGUGCGCUGGUCAUGCCUUUGGUAUGUACUGGUGUUACUGAUUUCUACCUUCUGAAGAACCGUUAUGUCAUUUAUUUGGUGUGGCGGGGAAUCAGGACUGUUACUUUGAAAAAAUUAGAGUGUUUAAAGCAGGCUCGCGCUUGAAUACAUUAGCAUGGAAUAAUGAAAUAGGACGUUUGACCCUAUUUUGUUGGUUUCUAGGAUCGACGUAAUGAUUAAUAGGGAUAGUUGGGGGCAUUAGUAUUCAAUUGUCAGAGGUGAAAUUCUUGGAUUUAUUGAAGACUAACUACUGCGAAAGCAUUUGCCAAGGAUGUUUUCAUUAAUCAAGAGCGAAAGUUAGGGGAUCGAAGACGAUCAGAUACCGUCGUAGUCUUAACCAUAAACUAUGCCGACUAGGGAUCGGAUGAUGUUAUUUUUAAUGACUCAUUCGGCGCCUUAAC